GGUUCUUGGAGCUACUGCGCUAUGUGAUCAGACAAUCCAGUGGCCCAAGGUGCAACACUAAAGAGACACAGAGGGCAAGGUUAAAGUGUUACUGAGAGCCAGCCAGAGAGGAUCAUUCAGACACUGUAGCCAAAUGAAAGUCUUUAUUCCAGCCAGCUGGGACAAGUGCUGGUAUUUGAGAUCUAAGUGUAGCCCCAAGCACUUAGAGCAAAGAGCUUUUCAAGGUUAAAAGUCACAUCCAGGUUUCUCACCCUGAAGCUGCAGCACUCCUCCAGGUCUUGUUUGAAUUUCCUGGUCUUUGAGGGAAUUCAGAAUUGCUUUAUUAUGCACUACAUCCUCUGAACGUUUCCUCUGAAAGAUGUACACGUCACUGGAA